AAAUUGAAGGGUUUGAUCAUGGCUCAGAUUGAACGCUGGCGGCAGGCCUAACACAUGCAAGUCGAACGGUAACAGGAAGAAGCUUGCUUCUU
rnacentral:rRNA from 1 species